rnacentral:lncRNA from 1 species
GGAGGCAUAGGAGGGUGGGGAAGUAGAUGGCGCUCAUGACUUUGCUCCCCAUCUCCUAUGUGAAUGGCACUGACAUCAUCUUGAAGCUGAACAGUCUGGAAUAGUGAUUCCUUUGAAACUUGAGAUUGUUCCUCGGUGAACUACGUGACCAUCUGCCCCCACAACUCAUUCAAUGUAGGCUCAGAAGAAGUAGAAGAUUUGGCAGGUGCCUCUUGCUGUUGUUGUUGCCUCUGAUUUUUCAGUUUUGGCUGCCUGUUGUUGUAGAUGUUUGGAACAUAAGCUUGAGGCUCAUGAAACUGCAACUGUUGUGGUUCCUGGACCGGUGGAGGCGUACAAGGAGUAUAGAAUGAUGGUUCCUGAUAUUGAUGCUAUGAAGUACCAUACCAUCCCAAGUUAGGAUUAGUCCACCCAGGAUUGUCGCUAUAACCAUACUGUAACACCCCGACAACUUACAAGGACUGUUGACUGCCCCCA